AAAUCAAUAUAAACUGAUUUUGAGUAAUAUUUAUUUAUUUAUUUUUAUUUUUGUUAUUAUAAUUUAUUAAAAAUAAUUAUAUAAUUUAAAUGUUUUAGUAAUUUUUAAUGAAAAAAUAAUAUUUAUAAUAGUUAAUUAUGUAUUGUGAAAGAAUCUUGAAAUAUUUUGAAAAAUUUUUAUAUAAAAAGAAAAUUUUUUUUAUUGUACCUUGUGUAUCAGGGUUUAUUAAAUAAUUAAUAUAUAUAUAUAUUAAUCUCGAUUUUAUAAGAGUUAAUAGUUUAUGAAAGUUAAUGUAUCAAAAUUAUUUUAAAUAAACUAUUAGAAAUGAAAUGUUAUUCGUUUAUAAAGGUAUCUAGUUUUUUUAGAAAUAAAUUUAAUUUACAAUUUUUUAAUUUUUUGUUUAUUUUUUAAAGUAAAAAAAUUAUUAAAUUGAAUAUUUUAAGGGAUAAGCUUUAGAAUAAAUUAUUAAAAAUUAAUAAUUAUCUUAUAAAAUGUAUGCUUAGAAUUAGCAAUCAUUUAUUAGUUUGUUAUAAAUUAUUUUAUGUAGUUUAUAUAUUAUUUAUUAGUAUUUUAAAUAUAUUAUAAAAAUUUUUUUUUUAAUGUAAUUAUAGAAAGUAAUAAUGAUAAAAUUAGUAUAUUUUUAUGUUUAUAUAAUUAAUAAUGAUAAUUUUAUAUAAAGAAUUCGGCAAAUUUAUUAUACUCGCCUGUUUAACAAAAACAUGUCUUUUUGAGUUAUUUUUAAAGUCUGACCUGCCCACUGAAUAAAUUUUAAACGGCCGCAGUAUUUUAACUGUGCAAAGGUAGCAUAAUCAUUUGUCUUUUAAUUGAAGGCUGGAAUGAACGGUUGGACGAAGUAUAANCUGUUUCAUAUAAAUUUAUAGUAGAAUUUUAUAUUUUAGUUAAAAAGCUAAAAUUUAAUUAAAAGACGAGAAGACCCUAUAAAUCUUUAUAUUUUGUAUUAUUUAGAUUUUAUUGAUAUAUUUUAUCUUUAUAUUAUAAAUUAUUUUGUUGGGGUGAUAUUAAAAUUUAAUUAACUUUUAAUUUUAUUUAUUCAUUGAUUUAUGUUUAAUUGAUCCGUUAAUAACGAUUAUAAUAUUAAGUUACUUUAGGGAUAACAGCGUAAUUUUUUUGGAGAGUUCUUAUUGAUAAAAAAGUUUGCGACCUCGAUGUUGGAUUAAGAGAUAUUUUUAGGUGUAGCUGCUUAAAUAUAAAGUCUGUUCGAGCUUU
rnacentral:rRNA from 1 species